rnacentral:rRNA from 1 species
CGGGUGAGUAACGCGUGGAAAACCUGCCGUAUACUGGGGGAUAACACUUAGAAAUAGGUGCUAAUACCGCAUAAGCGCACAGCUUCGCAUGAAGUGGUGUGAAAAACUCUGGUGGUAUACGAUGGUUCCGCGUCUGAUUAGCUUGUUGGUGGGGUAAUGGCUCACCAAGGCGACGAUCAGUAGCCGGCCUGAGAGGGUGAACGGCCACAUUGGGACUGAGACACGGCCCAAACUCCUACGGGAGGCAGCAG